AUACGGAGGGGGCUAGCGUUGUUCGGAAUUACUGGGCGUAAAGGGCGCGUAGGCGGAUUGUCAAGUCAGAGGUGAAAGCCCUGGGCUCAACCCGGGAACUGCCUUUGAAACUAACAGUCUUGAGUCCGAGAGAGGAUGGCGGAAUUCCCAGUGUAGAGGUGAAAUUCGUAGAUAUUGGGAAGAACACCAGUGGCGAAGGCGGCCAUCUGGCUCGGUACUGACGCUGAGGCGCGAAAGCGUGGGGAGCAAACAGGAUUAGAAACCCUAGUAGUCC
rnacentral:rRNA from 1 species